rnacentral:rRNA from 1 species
GAUGAACGCUGGCGGCGUGCCUAAUACAUGCGAGUCGAGCGAACAGACGAGGAGCUUGCUCCUCUGACGUUAGCGGUGGACGGGUGAGUAACACGUGGAUAACCUACCUAUAAGACUGGGAUAACUUCGGGAAACCGGAGCUAAUACCGGAUAAUAUAUUGAACCGCAUGGUUCAAUAGUGAAAGACGGUUUUGCUGUCACUUAUAGAUGGAUCCGCGCCGCAUUAGCUAGUUGGUAAGGUAACGGCUUACCAAGGCAACGAUGCGUAGCCGACCUGAGAGGGUGAUCGGCCACACUGGAACUGAGACACGGUCCAGACUCCUACGGGAGGCAGCAGUAGGGAAUCUUCCGCAAUGGGCGAAAGCCUGACGGAGCAACGCCGCGUGAGUGAUGAAGGUCUUCGGAUCGUAAAACUCUGUUAUUAGGGAAGAACAAAUGUGUAAGUAACUAUGCACGUCUUGACGGUACCUAAUCAGAAAGCCACGGCUAACUACGUG